UACGUAGGGUGCAAGCGUUGUCCGGAAUUAUUGGGCGUAAAGAGCUCGUAGGCGGUCUGUCGCGUCGGCUGUGAAAACCCGGGGCUCAACCCCGGGCCUGCAGUCGAUACGGGCAGACUAGAGUGCGGUAGGGGAGACUGGAAUUCCUGGUGUAGCGGUGGAAUGCGCAGAUAUCAGGAGGAACACCGGUGGCGAAGGCGGGUCUCUGGGCAGUAACUGACGCUGAGGAGCGAAAGCGUGGGGAGCGAACAGG
rnacentral:rRNA from 1 species